rnacentral:rRNA from 1 species
AGAAUCAACGCUGGCGGCGUGCCUAACACAUGCAAGUCGCACGAGAAAGGGACUUCGGUCCUGAGUACAGUGGCGCACGGGUGAGUAACACGUGAAUAAUCUACCUCCGAGUGGGAAUAACUGAGAGAAAUCUUAGCUAAUACCGCAUAACACUUACGAGUCAAAGCAGCAAUGCGCUUGGAGAGGAGUUCGCGGCAGAUUAGUUAGUUGGCGGGGUAAUGGCCCACCAAGACGAUGAUCUGUA